rnacentral:rRNA from 1 species
CAGUCGCCGCGGGAAUACGAGGGGGGCUAGCGUUGCUCGGAAUGACUGGGCGUAAAGGGCGCGUAGGCGGCGAUCAAAGUCAGGCGUGAAAUUCCUGGGCUCAACCUGGGGGCUGCGCUUGAUACUUGGUUGCUUGAGUGGGGAAGAGGGUCGUGGAAUUCCCAGUGUAGAGGUGAAAUUCGUAGAUAUUGGGAAGAACACCGGUGGCGAAGGCGGCGACCUGGUCCUUGACUGACGCUGAGGCGCGAAAGCGUGGGGAGCAAACAGGAUUAGAUACCCCGGUAGUCCCUGUCUCUUAUAC